rnacentral:lncRNA from 1 species
CAGCAACAAGCAUGUUUGUGGUGUUUGCACUCAGAAAACUCCCAGUGUUAAGUGGAUUGUUAUCAAGAGAAAAACAGUCUUAGAUGCAACAUAAAAAUUUCAGAGACAGAAGAAAUCUUCCUUUGAGGGCAGGUGAGUCUAUUAUUUGGAAGGGAGUAACACAAAACUCCACAGGAUGCUCUAUGAUCAAUACAAUCAACAAACCUUCACACUGUAUGUUUAAAGGUAUUAAGAAGAUAAACAAACACAUCAGAAUUUUACCAGUUGGAAUAAUCCUGUAUUGGAUGCUUGCCUCAUUUGGGGAUUUACCAUUGAUCUCUUCUCUAUCCUGAACUUCACAGCAUUAUUCUCAAUGACUCUACAAAAGUAAAGGAUAGCUGUUAGUUAAAUAUUAGAAAAAUUUUUGGUUUAAAAUUGAAGACAAGUUGCAUAUUUAUUAAUUGUAUAAGGUAAAACAUGAGAAGGCAAAAUUAUUUUUUAAAUUAAAAUUUU